rnacentral:misc_RNA from 1 species
CCAAUAGCGUAUAUUAAAGUUGUUGCAGUUAAAAAGCUCGUAGUUGAAUUUCGGGAUUAGUACGUUGGUCGUGCCUUGGUACGUACUGGUGUAACUGAUUCCUCCCUUCUGACGAACCGUUAUGCCAUUAAUUUGGUGUGGCGGGAAAUCAGGACUGUUACUUUGAAAAAAUUAGAGUGUUUAAAGCAGGCUCGCGCUGGAAUACAUUAUCAUGGAAUAAUAAAAUAGGACGUUAAUCCUAUUUUGUUGGUUUCUAGGAUCGACGUAAUGAUUAAUAGGGAGAGUUGGGGGCAUUAGUAUUCAAUUGUCAGAGGUGAAAUUCUUGGAUUUAUUGAAGACUAACUACUGCGAAAGCAUUUGCCAAGAAUGUUUUCAUUAAUCAAGAACGAAAGUUAGAGGUUCGAAGGCGAUCAGAUACCGCCCUAGUUCUAACCAUAAACGAUGCCAACCAGCGAUUAGCCUGAGUUCCUUAAAUGACUCGGCUAGCAGCUUCCG